AUUUCUACACAGAAUACUUCUCAUGAAAAAACUGAGUUUUUCAGUUGCGGUUUGUUCGGUUAAAUACAGGCGAAUUCCCUUUCAAGGCAACCUUCAAGGCAAGAGGAAAGCCUCUUUUAACAGAACCCCUGUGGACCAGGUGGAUGGACAGGGGACCAGGUGGACCAGGUGGAUGGACUGGGGACCAGGUGGAUGGACUGUGGAACAAAAGACACAAUAAAUAUAUCACCAAAAGACUAACAGCAUUUUGAAGUAGAUUCCUUCAAAAGGUAUGACAACAAGCUGUUGUGUUGUACCUCAUGUCUAAAUAGUUGAGGUAAAGCCG
ensembl:lncRNA